ACCUAGGGGCGCAGCAGUAGGGAAUCUUCCACAAUGGGCGAAAGCCUGAUGGAGCAACGCCGCGUGGGUGAAGAAGGUCUUCGGAUCGUAAAACCCUGUUGUUAGAGAAGAAAGUGCGUGAGAGUAACUGUUCACGUUUCGACGGUAUCUAACCAGAAAGCCACGGCUAACUACGUGCCAGCAGCCGCGGUAAUACGUAGGUGGCAAGCGUUAUCCGGAUUUAUUGGGCGUAAAGGGAACGCAGGCGGUCUUUUAAGCCUGAUGUGAAAGCCUUCGGCUUAACCGGUGCAGUGCAUUGG
rnacentral:rRNA from 1 species